rnacentral:lncRNA from 1 species
GAACUCCUUCUGGGCAGCCAUCUGCAGGCCUGAGUGUUGCAGCUAUCAAACUGGACCAGGGAUUCACCCAUCUCACAGAGCUGUUACAGGGAUGGAAACUAACCAGUGUGGGUUUCCUCUGCCUGGACCAUGCCUCUCACAGACAACCAGUCUUGUGGCUCAUUCACGCCCUCACCUCCUUUAGCAAUUGGCUGCAAUAUCUCCUCUCCCAGGCAUUACCUGAUUCCCCUUCUUAAAGUUGCAACUCACUGCCUCUACUCAGUCCUCCCUCCCUGACCCCUCCCUUGCUUAUAUUUGUCGAGGGGACAAUCACUGUCUUGUCAGAGACACAUCGGUAAUUACGAUGUGAAUCAUAAGCUUUAUGGCCUUCUUUUGCACAGGCCCCUUCCAGAAUUUGUUGUAAGUUCUUUGUGCAUUUUAAAUAAAUAUUUCCUUUCACACUUUAAUGUGAAUU